UCCGUGAUCGUUUAGUGGUAAGUACAUUGCGUUGUGGCUGCAAUUACCCAGGUUCGAAUCCUGGUCACGGCA
rfam:Nematostella vectensis strain CH2 x CH6 NEMVEscaffold_396_Cont25970, whole genome shotgun sequence.